CCUACGGGGGGCAGCAGUAGGGAAUAUUGCUCAAUGGGGGAAACCCUGAAGCAGCAACGCCGCGUGGAGGAUGAAGGUUUCAGGAUUGUAAACUCCUUUUGUUAGAGAAGAUAAUGACGGUAUCUAACGAAUAAGCACCGGCUAACUCCGUGCCAGCCGCCGCGGUAAUACGGAGGGUGCCAGCGUUACUCGGAAUCACUGGGCGUAAAGAGUGCGUAGGCGGGGUAAUAAGUCAGAUGUGAAAUCCUGUAGCUUAACUACAGAACUGCAUUUGAAACUGUUACUCUGGAGUGUGGGAGAGGUAGGUGGAAUUCUUGGUGUAGGGGUAAAAUGCGUAGAGAUCAAGAGGAAUACUCAUUGCGAAGGCGACCUGCUGGAACAUUACUGACGCUGAGGCACGAAAGCGUGGGGAGCAAACAGGAUUAGAUACCCUUGUAGUC
rnacentral:rRNA from 1 species